rnacentral:rRNA from 1 species
GAUGAACGCUGGCGGCGUGCCUAAUACAUGCAAGUCGAGCGAACAGACGAGGAGCUUGCUCCUCUGACGUUAGCGGCGGACGGGUGAGUAACACGUGGAUAACCUACCUAUAAGACUGGGAUAACUUCGGGAAACCGGAGCUAAUACCGGAUAAUAUAUUGAAACGCAUGGUUCAAUAGUGAAAGACGGUUUUGCUGUCACUUAUAGAUGGAUCCGCGCCGCAUUAGCUAGUUGGUAAGGUAACGGCUUACCAAGGCAACGAUGCGUAGCCGACCUGAGAGGGUGGCCGGCCACACGGGAACGGAGACACGGUCCAGCCUCCUACGGGAGGCAGCAGAGGGGAAUCUGCGACAAUGGGCGAAAGCCUGACGCAGCAACGCCGCGGGGGUGAAGAAGGUCUUCGGGUCGAAAACCUCUUUUAUGGGGGAAAAAAAAGUGUGGAAUAAAAUAUCCAGGUCAGGACGGUCCCAAAUAAAAAAGCCCCGGCUAACUCCGUG